rnacentral:rRNA from 1 species
CCUGGGAACUGCGUUNUGAACUGGGUGACUAGAGUGUGUCAGAGGGAGGUAGAAUUCCACGUGUAGCAGUGAAAUGCGUAGAGAUGUGGAGGAAUACCGAUGGCGAAGGCAGCCUCCUGGGAUAACACUGACGUUCAUGCUCGAAGGCGUGGGUAGCAAACAGGAUUAGAUACCCUGGUAGUCCACGCCCUAAACGAUGUCAAUUAGCUGUUGGGCAACUUGAUUGCUUAGUAGCGUAGCUAACGCGUGAAAUUGACCGCCUGGGGAGUACGGUCGCAAGAUUAAAACUCAAAGGAAUUGACGGGGACCCGCACAAGCGGUGGAUGAUGUGGAUUAAUUCGAUGCAACGCGAAGAACCUUACCUGGUCUUGACAUGUACGGAAUCCUCCAGAGACGGAGGAGUGCCUUCGGGAGCCGUAACACAGGUGCUGCAUGGCUGUCGUCAGCUCGUGUCGUGAGAUGUUGGGUUAAGUCCCGCAACAAGCGCAACCCUUGUCAUUAGUUGCCAUCAUUUAGUUGGGCACUCUAAUGAGACUGCCGGUGACAAGCCGGAGGAAGGUGGGGACGACGUCAAGUCCUCAUGGCCCUUAUGACCAGGGCUUCACACGUCAUACAAUGGUCGGUACAGAGGGUAGCCAAGCCGCGAGGUGGAGCCAAUCUCACAAAACCGAUCGUAGUCCGGAUUGCACUCUGCAACUCGAGUGCAUGAAGUCGGAAUCGCUAGUAAUCGCAGGUCAGCAUACUGCGGUGAAUACGUUCCCGGGUCUUGUACACACCGCCCGUCACACCAUGGGAGUGGGGGAUACCAGAAGU